rnacentral:rRNA from 1 species
GACGAACGCUGGCGGCGUGCUUAAUACAUGCAAGUCGAGCGAAAGGACGAUAAGCUUGCUUCUUUGAUGUUAGCGGCGCACGGGUGAGUAACACGUGUAUCACCCCCCUAUAAUUCUGGGAUAACUUCGGGAAACCGUAGCUUAUACCGGAUAAUAUUUUGAACCGCAUGGUUCAAAGGUGAAUGACGGUCUUUCUGUCUCUUAUAGAUGCAUCCGCGCUGCAUUAGCUAGUUGUUAAGGUCACGGCUUAUCAAGGCUACGUUGCAUAGCCGACAUGAGAGGAUGGUCAGCCACACUGGAAGUGUGACACGGUACAGAGUGAUAGGGGAGGGAGCCAUAGGGAUACGUGCGCAAUGGGCGAAAGACUGACGGAGAAGCGCCGCGUGCGUAAUGAAGAUCUUCGGGUGGUAAAACUCGGUUAUUAGGGAGGAACAUAUGUGUAAGUGACUGUGAGCGUCUUGGCGGUAACUAAGCAGAGAGGCACGGCUAAAUACGUU